GAUGAACGCUGGCGGCGUGCUUAACACAUGCAAGUCGAACGGGAAACCUUUUAAUGAAGCUUCGGCAGAUUUAGCUGGUUUCUAGUGGCGGACGGGUGAGUAACGCGUGGGUAACCUGCCUUAUACAGGGGGAUAACAGUCAGAAAUGACUGCUAAUACCGCAUAAGCGCACAGGACCGCAUGGUCCGGUGUGAAAAACUCCGGUGGUAUAAGAUGGACCCGCGUUGGAUUAGCUUGUUGGUGGGGUAACGGCUCACCAAGGCGACGAUCCAUAGCCGGCCUGAGAUGGUGAACGGCCACAUUGGGACUGAGACACGGCCCAGACUCCUACGGGGGGCAGCAGUGGGGAAUAUUGCACAAUGGGGGAAACCCUGAUGCAGCGACGCCGCGUGAAGGAAGAAGUAUCUCGGUAUGUAAACUUCUAUCAGCAGGGAAGAUAGUGACGGUACCUGACUAAGAAGCCCCGGCUAACUACGUG
rnacentral:rRNA from 1 species